AAAACAUGUCUGUUUGAAGGUUUAAAUGGUCUGACCUGCUCACUGACAAAAGUUUAAGAGCCGCGGUAAUUUGACCGUGCAAAGGUAGCAUAAUCAUUAGUUCUUUAAUUGGGAACUUGUAUGAAGGGUUUGACAAAGGAAAUACUGUCUUUAUUAUAAUUAUUGAAAUUAACUUUUAAGUGAAAAGGCUUAAAUAGUUCAGAGGGACGAUAAGACCCUAUAAAGUUUAAUAUAACUAAUAUAAUUGAAGUAAAAUUUUUAAUAUAAAUAUUAAAUUAUUUAUUGUAUUUUAUUGGGGCGAUAAGAAUAUAAGUAAUAUUAACUGUUUAUAUAAAUUAUACAUAAAUAAAUGAUUUAAAAAAUUAAUUGAUCCUUAAGGAGUUAAGAUUAAAAGACUAAAUUACUUUAGGGAUAACAGCGUAAUUUUCUUUGAGAGUUCAUAUCGAAAAGAAAGAUUGCGACCUCGAUGUUGAAUUAAAAUAUCUUUAUAGAGCAGAGUCUAUAAAAGAAGGUCUGUUCGACCUUUAAAUUUUUACGUGA
rnacentral:rRNA from 1 species